rnacentral:tRNA from 1 species
UUCUUUAUAGUUUAAUAUAAACAUCUACUUUGGAUGUAGAAAUUUUCAUUAUUAAU